CUGUGCACAAGAGGGGUGCUGAGGAUUGGCAGUGCCCACUCCUAUGCCAUCAUGACUUUGACUUCUUCAACUCAACAGGACUGCAGCAGUCUGUGCUUCUGUACACAACACCCAACACCUACAUCCAUGACACCAUCACCACCAGCGUGGAGAAAGACAGUGAUGAAGGCUUCUGGUAGGAUCCUUUCUCAAUGGGGCCCUGGGUGGCUCUGUUUGGAAAGCUCUCCCAGGAAAAGGUUCUCCCAGCGUCUCUAAACUCUCACAGGUUCCCAUCCACCCAUCAAGCUAAAAUCCAGACUGUCAGGCACUGGCUCCCAAAAUCACCUGUUUGGCUGGCCUCAGUUGGAGAAGAGGGGUCUGGUCUAAGGUCACACAGCUCAGGGUGGCAAUCCUGUCCCUUCCCCACGGUGCUGCCCUCACUCCAUCUCCCCAUGGUACACAUCGUGCUCAAGGAACAGGCAGCUUAUGAGGUGACUAAGGUGUGGGCCCAGGGCACCUUCAGACUCAACCCCAAUGAUGAGGACA